GAUGAACGCUGGCGGCGUGCCUAAUACAGGCAAGUCGAGCGAACGGACGAGAAGCUUGCUUCUCUGAUGUUAGCGGCGGACGGGUGAGUAACACGUGGAUAACCUACCUAUAAGACUGGGAUAACUUCGGGAAACCGUAGCUAAUACCGGAUAAUAUUUUGAACCGCGUGGUUCAAAAGUGAAAGACGGUCUUGCUGUCACUUAUAGAUGGAUCCGCGCUGCAUUAGCUAGUUGGUAAGGUAACGGCUUACCAAGGCAACGAUGCAUAGCCGACCUGAGAGGGUGAUCGGCCACACUGGAACUGAGACACGGUCCAGACUCCUACGGGAGGCAGCAGUAGGGAAUCUUCCGCAAUGGGCGAAAGCCUGACGGAGCAACGCCGCGUGAGUGAUGAAGGUCUUCGGAUCGUAAAACUCUGUUAUUAGGGAAGAACAUAUGUGUAAGUAACUGUGCACAUCUUGACGGUACCUAAUCAGAAAGCCACGGCUAACUACGUG
rnacentral:rRNA from 1 species